rnacentral:lncRNA from 1 species
AACUUUAUCUUUUGGUUUCCUUUUGCUGGUGAGUUUGGGCUUAGCUUCGGCGGCCCGAUCUCUUCUUUCUUACGAUAUUCCUCCUCAUCGAUCUGGAUACGAUAAUUAUGAUCAUCCUGUAGUUAACCCUAAAGUAGGAUACGAACAUGACCGUCGUGAUGGAUACUACCAUGACCGUGACCAUCAUGAUGCACCUUAUGGUGGUGGUGCUGGUGGAGGAUAUGGAGCUGGAGCUGGAGCUGGCUCAUCUCUUGGAGGCUCUGGAUAUGGAAGUGGAGGAGGUGGUGGUUCUGGAUAUGGAGGUGUAGGAAACCACGAGGUUGGUUAUGGUAGUGGUGGAGGGGGUGGAUAUGGAGCUGGAGUUGGCUCUGACCUUGGUGGUAGCGGAUACGGAAGCGGUGGUGGUGGAGGCAGUGGAGGAGGAUACGGUGAUUUAGGAGGACGUGGAAAAGGGUACGGUAGCGGUGGAGGUGGAGGAAGUGGAUAUGGAGGUAGAGGAGACCAUGGAGUUGGUUAUGGAAGUGGUGGAGGUGGAGGAUAUGGAAGUGGAGUAGGUGGUGGUGCAGGAGUGGUAGACCAUGGUGUAGGUUAUGGGAGUGGAGGAGGAGGUGGGGCUGGUAGUGGUUAUGGUGGUUCCAAAGGAUAUGGAGGUGGAAGCGGCGGCGGUGGGGGAGCCGGUUAUGGUGGUGGAGCACAUGGAAGUGGAUAUGGAAGUGGUGGUGGAGCUGGAAGUGGUGAAGAAGGAGGAUAUGAUGGUGGAUAUGCACCGUAAACAAAGAAAAGAAAAGAAAAAGCUCAAAGUUUUAUGGCUAAAAUGAGAAUGCUUACCCUAAUAUCAUCAAUGUGUGUGUGUGUUAGCAAAAAAAAAAAAUAAAAGAAUUUGGGUAAGAAAUGUUAUAUUAAUUAUCUUUGAGCUUUUAAGUAAUUUGAAUGUAAUAUAAUAUAUAUAUAAAAAAAGCUAAUCCAUGUGUUCCAAAGUGAACCAACAUGAAGUAUAUUUUCUCCCUUUGUCAUCAUGAUCAUCUUAAACUUGUGGUUAUUAUGUGGGCUCUCAUUAUUAUUCCAAGAUAGCAACGUCGGGAUAUUCAAAUAUUUUUCAUAUGUAAUGUCUUAAGACUAAAUCACUAUGAUCUAUAUGCUUUAAUUAAGUUCAAAACUAUUUUGGAAGCAUUAUGAUUAAUAUAUUGAUUACUUAAAUACUAUUAUAUGGUUUUCAAGGUAACUUGAUGUUGUUAAUAAAAGAAAUCUUUAAUAUUUAAUCAGUCCUUUCUCUUAAAAUUUAGUAAAAAUAAAUACUAAAAUGGUAUGAUGUUUUAUGGUUGGAUUUGGGGUAUGUGUUUUGGCUUGUCCCUCUAGUUGUGACUUGUUCAAAAUAAGUGUACAAUCAAAUUCACUUGGGUUAUUAAAGACAAUUGAUAAACAAAAAUUGCCAAAACGAUAGAGCAUAACUAUUUAAUCGGUAUAAAACUUGUACAAUCCAUUAAUCAUAAUAUACUUUUUCUAAUUGAUCUCUAAUUGAUCGUACAUACUAGUUAGUGUCGAUAAAAAACUCAAUUUGACGUAUAAAUAUUUGUUUGUUGUAAAUGAACAUCUAAGUAUAUUCUUGAUUAAUUAUUCUUAUACUAAGAGUAACAUUGACCCCUCUAUUCUUUAGUAUUUGGUUAAAAGAAUAAAAAAUUAGUAAGUGAUGAAUCUUAGUGUGCUAUAGGUUGAUCAACCAAUUAAAAUUAGUCGUUUCAAGCAAUACUUUCGAAAAAAUUCAUUAAAUAGGAGUUAUUUAAACUAUCAACCCUGAGUUUUUAUACAUUACAAUAAAUUUAAUCUUUGAUGUCGGUCAAAAACUAAUAUAUAGGAGUACAAUAUAGAUCACCAGAUCGAUAUGGAAGACAAUGUUAUGGAAGAUGUUCAAUGUUAAUCACUUUUAUGUUCGUUUUGGUCUUGGCAUUAUAAAUAAUUUAAAUGGUAGUUUUUGCUCACACUACAAAUGUGUUAGACUAUUAGUCAUCAAAUAGUUUGAAUUCCUUGUAAAAAAAAUUAGUUGAAACAAAAAUAAAUAAUUAUCUUUGCAUUAAAAUAAAAUAAAAUAAAUAAAAUAGAUUUUUUUGUGAAUAUUUUGGUCAGGUGUUCUAUUUUUUAUAAUUUCCCAUAAAAAAUAUGUGUAAUAAGUUAUUUAAAAUACUAAUAGUAUUAAUUAGUUUACUUAAUAAAUCAAUUAUAUCUCUAAAUGAUAUUUUGGUAGAUUUAAAAAUAUUUUGAUUCAUUUUGCUAUAUUUGAAAAAGAAACCAUAAAAUUCUACUUCAUAUUCGCAAUAGAUCAUGGUAAACUUAGAUAGGCAUCUAUUAUUUAUAUAUAUGGUGAUAGAUACUUAUGUAUCUAUAUCCAAGCCCAUCAUCUAAAUAUUUUCAAAUGGUUUUCAAUUGAAAACAAAUUUCUCAAUAAGUAAUUAAAAAUUAGGUUUUUAUUCACUAAUAAUUAUUAUUUAAAUGUGAACAAAUAAAGUUUAGCUCGUAUAUAAUGGGUCAGUAGGUACACUCGGAUAUCUCCACUAGAUGGACACCCCUUAGCACCCUCAUUAUCUCCGUUUCAUUAAUAUAAAAAAUCGAAUUGAAUACACGAGAAGUAAAGAGAACAACCCAAACAAAAAACAAAGAACUAGAGACAAGCCCAAAACAAGUACAAACAAUUAGAAAGCAUGAAGAAAUUAGUGCUUUAAACCCCUAAACCGCAAUGUUACUUAACAAAUAAAAUUGUUAUUUAAA